rnacentral:piRNA from 1 species
UAGGCAAAUCCUUUCUGAGGGAAGUUGUCU